UCUGUCACUCACUAAGUCACUCACUCACUCACUCACUUUCCUGUAAACUGCGUUGUUGCCUUAGUAACUGCUAUCUUGACUUAUUCAUUUUUAAUUAUUCAUCUUCACGGUCUACCUGUUUCUUUCCUUUUUUUUUUUCGAAGAGAAAGAAAUUCAUGUCCUCGAAGAGGCUCGAACUCCGGACCUCUCGCGCCAACGGCAAAGACACUGCCACUAGACCAUGUGCCAUUAGACAUUACGUCAUGAGUAUUUUACUAGCUUUUAUCCGACACCCGAUCAAUCAAUGGGUUUCCUGUGUCAUAAUCGAUAAAACUGCUAAGGAGCGAAAUGUCGAGAUUCUUUUGCGUAAAAUGUACAAAAUUAAAUAAGUUUUUGAAACGGUUUCCGCUUCGAGUGUGUCAGCCAGUCACUAGAUCCAUACUUAUUCUUGGCGAACCAUUAUGAGGAAACUAAACACGUGUCUCGGGCAGACACAAUCAACAUUUUGACGCUUUAUAGAUUGUCAUACUGGCAGUGAUGAAUCAUUGCGAUCUUUGGCAAUAUCGAUUGGCAAUACCUUGAACAUUGAUAUUGUAGUUUAUUUACCACGGAUGUGAAUGAUUAAUUUUUGUUUACUUAUUUCUGUACUUCAGAACCUUCUGAGGCAACAAUGUUCAAGAAAAAAAUGACUUCAGCAGGACCCUAUGAGAUGUCUGAGACCUCAGGCCCUUCUGAGACAAAAUCGAAGGAAAAAAUGACAACCGKACCUCAGCUGCAUGAAGACGAACCGAUCCCUUAGGAUCUCUUAGGAGUGGGAGUGCUUGACGGAAAAAGAAACCUAAACAGUCAAAUCAAAGUUAAUUACAGUAUUGAAACAAUAGAAUAGUUGAAUCGAGAGCAAUAUGCUGUGAUAGUUGCAGGCGGAAACUGGAUGUUUCGAAAAAAAAUCAUUGUCGCCCCAGACGUGUAGUUCGAGGACGACUAUAAAGAUUUGAGGAAUAUCCAGUUUCCAAGGGCAACUACCACAUUAAUGCUCAAGUUGCAAUCUGCUCUAUCGUUUUUAUUAUUUUCUAAAGCAGCACUGAUAGAAACCCUCAACCAAUGAGAGCAGAGAGGAAAAUUUGUUGUUGAAUUAUACAUAGAUACUCUCAUUCUCUCCAUGCGACUGCUUCGUUGGUUUCACGCAUCAAAUAUUCUGAAAUUAAAACAGUUCAUUGAUACUAAAAAUAUGUAAGGCAUUCCAAUAACCUUUUUUACUGCGACCGUGGUAUUUGUGGGUUUCGAUUGUACAUCGUUUUAAGUAAGAGUUAAUAUUGUUAUCAAACAUUCUUAACAGUCAUUCUGGAAACGAUGUCGAGCAGUGACGAUUUGUUUAUAGCUCAAAAUACGUUUGACAUCAUACCUUUGCCGAACUUUGAUAUUUACGAUUUGCUAUCGGAUUUGGAACUCCGCAUGCCUCUGCACUCGAAUAACGAUGACAAAGUCUGCAGAUGGGAAAAAUGAGAAAAAUUACCAUUGUUUUUGAUGUUGAACUCGCUCGAAAAAAAUGCGAGGGAAGGAUUCAAGAAGAAACAAACUAAAGUAACAAAUGGCCGUGUGUACGUGCUUGGAUAGAAUGCCCGGGGAGCGGAGAAAUACGAGUCACACCGAUUACGUCUGAUUCAUACACGUUGGUCAAUUCCGAAGAAUAGAUUCUUUUAAAAGUAACGAAGAUCUUGGUUAUUGUUGUCUCUACUCUCUGAUGAACUUAUCAAGAAAAGCUGCGGGACUCGAACGUAUUACACUCUAAAUCUCCUCAAGUUUUGCUGGCCACACUGAUCUUUUUUAUGGGAAAAAUAGUUUUUAUGGGAAAAAUAGUUUAGUUUACUUGUUUAUUUGAUAUUCAGAAGGGAAAUGAUGGGGUUGAUGAAUUGAACUGAAUAACUCUUUAUAAACUCAAUGGGCUAUAUAUGAGUGAUCCCUCCCCGGCUUUAAGUUUCCACAUAUAUACAACCCUAUGAAUAACAAAGAAAACCUAGUGAAUUGGAAACUAAUUCAACAACAAACCCUCCGCUCUCAUUGGUGGAGAGGUUACAGUUUAAAUCCGGGCAUUAUGCCGUGAUAGUUGCCCUUGGAAACUGGAUGUUCCUCAAAACUUCAUAAAGUCGUCCUCCAACUACACUUCUUGGGCGACUAUUUGUUUUUCAAAAAAUCCAGUUUCUUCGAUCAGCUAACACUGCAUAAUGCACCUGAUUCAACUACUCUUUGAAUAGAGAAUGAGCUAUUGGCAGAAGUUAAGCUGUCUCCAGCACUUCUUCAUCUCCUUUAGCCUUAAUUCACAAUUUGUACUAUUUUUUUUAUAGCUGAAAUAGUAUUUUAUAGUAUGACCGUUUAGUCACACUGUGGCUUGGUGUCCAAACUAGAUUUUCACAGAGCAUGUGAAAAUGAUGUUUUGUGCGCUAGAAGCCUCUGACAAGGCAUGAAUCAGCCUCUUCAAUAUUAUUUUUAUGAAUGUACAACAAUGUGAGUAAAACACAAUUUCGUAGUAAUGUUAGAAUUCAUACCUGUACCGAGGUAUCAAGAAACAAUUGUAGUAUCAUCAACAAAUCUUCACCUUAUGAUAUUUCUUUAUUUUCUUUAUUUCUUAACGAUUAAAAUAUUUCACACAAAAAAAGAUUAAAGACACGAUACAUAUAAUACAUAUAAUACAACAUUGAGUACUCAAGAAUGUUGUGAUAUUCGUUGGUCACGUACAAAUCGCCGCUUUAGGGAGUUUUAUUAGUAAGUACUGCAUGCUUUAGAGGCCUGACGUCUAGCUCCAUAUAGUAGUGGAGAACAUAUGAAUGGAAAGUACUUUUUUAGAAUCGCCGUGUAAACCAGUAACAAAACAUUUUUAUGUUGGAAUGCAUUAUGCAGCAUCACAGUAUUCAGUACUUUUUCAAAUACCUUCAUGUUCUAUAAAGAGGUAAAUCUUAUAUCCUAUAGGUUAAUUAGGUACACUAGUUUGUAUAUAGCUAGAACAUCCAUCAGUUAAUUAUUCAAACGGUUAGAUUUUUGCUCGUUCUACGGGCAACAAAAGCAAGUGGCGAAGAGUGGUAAAAUCGAACUUCUACUAGGACCAGCGUAGCUGGACACAUGAUUCAAAACAAGAAAUGAUUAGAGAGAUGUCCAGGUCAUUUAGUUGCAUAUUUUUUUAUAAUUGUUUUGCGUAAUUAACUCCCUGACUACUCAGGUUCUACUACUAACUUUCAUAGUUUCGUUUUGGUAGUGUUAACACUGGAAAGACUCGCGCGCGUAAUUUUAGGAGAAUUUGUCAUUUGAACAGACUUUAUUUGUAAUAAAAACAACAACUUUUGUGUGUAAAAA